AAUGAACGCUGGCGGCGCGCCUAACACAUGCAAGUCGAGCGAGAAGACGUAGCAAUACGUUUGUAAAGCGGCGAACGGGUGAGGAAUACAUGGGUAACCUACCCUCGAGUGGGGAAUAACUAGCCGAAAGGUUAGCUAAUACCGCGUACGCUCCUUGGACUUCGGUUCAGGGAGGAAAGCGAUACCGUGGGUAUCGCGCUCUUGGAUGGGCUCAUGUCCUAUCAGCUUGUUGGUGAGGUAACGGCUCACCAAGGCUUCGACGGGUAGCUGGUCUGAGAGGACGAUCAGCCACACUGGCACUGCGACACGGGCCAGACUCCUACGGGAGGCAGCAGUAAGGAAUAUUGCGCAAUGGGCGAAAGCCUGACGCAGCGACGCCGCGUGGGGGAU
rnacentral:rRNA from 1 species